UACAGAGGUCUCAACCGUUGUUCGGAUUCAUUGGGCGUAAAGGGUGCGUAGGCGGUCGCGCAAGUCGGAUGCGAAAUCUUAGGGCUCAACCCUGAAACUGCAUUCGAUACUGCGUGGCUCGAGUACUGGAGAGGAGACUGGAAUUUACGGUGUAGCAGUGAAAUGCGUAGAUAUCGUAAGGAAGACCAGUGGCGAAGGCGAGUCUCUGGACAGUUACUGACGCUGAGGCACGAAGGCCAGGGGAGCAAACGGG
rnacentral:rRNA from 1 species